rnacentral:tRNA from 1 species
GGUAAUAUAUUUUAUUAUAGAAAAUUUAGUUUGCAACUAAAAAGAAGAAUUUUUUUCUUUUUACCU